rnacentral:rRNA from 1 species
CCUACGGGAGACAGCAGUGGGGAAUAUUGGGCAAUGGGCGCAAGCCUGACCCAGCACCGCCGCGUGUAUGAAGAAGGCUUUCGGGUUGUAAACUUCUUUUGUCAGGGACGAAGCAAGUGACGGUACCUGACGAAUAAGCCACGGCUAACUACGUGCCAGCAGCCGCGGUACUCCGUAGGUGGCAAGCGUUAUCCGGAUUUACUGGGUGGAAAGGGCGUGUAGGCGGGACUGCAAGUCAGAUGUGAAAACCACGGGCUCAACCUUUGGCCUGCAUUUGAAACUGUAGUUCUUGAGUACUGGAGAGGCAGACGGAAUUCCUAGUGUAGCGGGGAAAUGCGUAGAUAUGAGGAGGAACACCAGUGGCGAAGGCGGUCUGCUGGACAGCAACUGACGCUGAGGCGCGAAAGCGUGGGGAGCAAACAGGAGUAGAUACCCCUGUAGUC